GCUCACAAUCAGGAGCUCACACAGUCAGCCAUGCGCUGGCGAUGGAUGGUAACGUUAAUGUCUUCUGUUUUAUCUCUAUGCCAGCCAUAGAGCUAAGAGGAUGACAAAAGGGCUUUCAUCAUCCUUCAUAACCCUGGGAAACAGGCACUUCAACUAUCAACUUCUCUGGCACACCGACUUCCUGUAUUUGGUGACUUGAAUCUAGCUAGAGCUGUUUCCCACUGUUCAUGGCAUCCUUCCCCUAAGAUGUGCAGGCUGCUCUGGAAAAGGGGGAGAAGUGUCAAUGGAGAUCUGCCACCCCUGGCUUGUGAUGAACCAAAACCCGCCAUGGAGAAGUCACGGAAUAGUGCUGCCCUUCAUGGAUGGAGAGAAAGAAUCUCCUGAGGUUGCGUGGCCAGCUCAAGUUACACAAAGCAAGAAGGGGCAGAGGCAGACAGCUGCAAGACAGAGCAAGCCUAGGAGGCUGCCAUUUGUUGGGAGAUUCCCCCAGGAGACUGGUUGUUUCUAAAUGGUUUUGGCAUCACCCGGAAACUCACUUCCUACACCCACUCCCACUUCUUCGGGAAGGAAAAAAAUAGAAGAGGAAAACUGCU